AGAACGAACGCUGGCGGCAUGCCUAACACAUGCAAGUCGAACGAGACCUUCGGGUCUAGUGGCGCACGGGUGCGUAACGCGUGGGAAUCUGCCCUUGGGUUCGGGAUAACAGUUGGAAACGACUGCUAAUACCGGAUGAUGACUUCGGUCCAAAGAUUUAUCGCCCAGGGAUGAGCCCGCGUAGGAUUAGCUAGUUGGUGAGGUAAAGGCUCACCAAGGCGACGAUCCUUAGCUGGUCUGAGAGGAUGAUCAGCCACACUGGGACUGAGACACGGCCCAGACUCCUACGGGAGGCAGCAGUGGGGAAUAUUGGACAAUGGGCGAAAGCCUGAUCCAGCAAUGCCGCGUGAGUGAUGAAGGCCGUUAGGUUGUAAAGCUCUUUACCCGGGAUGAUAAUGACAGUACCGGAAGAAUAAGACCCCGGCUAACUCCGCGCCAGCAGCCGC
rnacentral:rRNA from 1 species